GCUUGAAUGCUGAAUCUGACCAAUCAAUUUUAGAUGCUGAAGGAGGUUAAAGUUUUUAGAGCAAGUGAAAGUUUUUUGGGCAUGUGACCUUAAACAGAAACAUCUAAAUUAUUGGUUUUAGCUUUACUAUAUACACUUAGAUGGAUGAUACAUCUUCUGAUACUAAAGUACUUAAUAGGCUUGAAUGCUGAAUCUGACCCAUAGAUUUCAGGUGAUUGAGUUGUUUAAUGUUUUUGAACAGGUUAUAUUUUUUGGAGCAGGUGCCCUUUGAUGGCCAUUACUAAGUUAUUAAUUACUAGUCCUUACUACACUAGACUUGCAUGAAUGGUAUAUCUUAUGAUACUUUAAAUGCAAAUGCCAUGCUUGGAUGCUUGGAAUCUGAACAGUCAAUUUCAGAUGCUGGAGGAAGUUAAGGUUUUUGAAGCAGGUCAAAUAGUUGGGAUCAGGUGCUUUUUGAUGGCCAUAUCUAAGUAACUAUUGGGUCUACCUUUGCCAAAUUUUGUUGGAUGAUGCAUCGUGUGGUAAUUAUGCACCACAAGAGAAAGGGGAAUUGACCAUUAAUGAAUUGCUGUUUUCCAAAUAGUCUGUGAAUUUUUAUCAUAUUAAUACCCCCCAAAAUACUUAAUUUGUGCAAUUUGGAGAUUGAGUUAUCAGGCUUUGAACUCAAUAUUAUGCCAACUUAUAUAUAUUCAAGAUCUUUUACAUAGAGUUUAUGAUAUGAGAGAUUGGUCAUUGCAAAUCAUUUUUGUUACUAAUCUUGUCAGUUGUGAAAUCAUAAGUUAUUGUGAAAGAAUGAUUUGGGCCGACUUUUUUUCAUUUUUUUUUUCAUAAUUGCUGCAAAUCUAUUUUUAGAAAAAUGACAUUAAUGUAUAUAUUUGUUACUUUCUUGCAGAUAGUGACUCGGAUCCAUUUGACUUAAAUGAGUCAUCUUUGGUGGAAGACUCAUAUAGCGAUAGUCUCUCCUCUGUAGUUCCUCUUUCUGAACUGAACACACUGUCUUGAUGAAAUUCUAGAGUCAAAAGAGAAGAAAAACCCAAAGACUGUGAAAUGGUCAAAGGAAGAUACAGCAGAUUUGAAAUCUCAUUUUAGAAAGUACAUAUUUACUCAGAAAGAUAAUAACACAGGGAAUCUACCAU